rnacentral:rRNA from 1 species
AUGAGAGUGGCGCAACGGGUGCGUUACACGUGAAGACUUACCCUCUAUGUGGGGGAUAGCUCGCCGAAAGGUGAAUUCAUACCGCAUGUGGUCCUUGGACUCCUGUCUGAGGCACUAAAGCCGGGGAUCGUAAGACCUGGCGCAUAAGGAGAGCUUCGCGGCCUAUCAGCUUGUUGGUGAGGUAACGGCUCACCAAGGCUAGACGGGUAGCUGGUCUGAGAGGAUGAUCAGCCACACUGGAACUGAGACACGGUCCAGACACAUACGGGUGGCAGCAGUGUUCGAGAUCAUUCACAAUGGGCGAAAGCCUAGAUGGUGCACACGCCGCGUGGGGGAUGAAGGUCUUCGGAUCGUAAACCCCUGUCACCA